rnacentral:tRNA from 1 species
UGGGUUGUGGCUCAGUGGUAGAGCGCUCGCCUAGCACGUGAGAGGCCCUGGGUUUGAUCCUCAGCACCACAU